rfam:Capsicum annuum cultivar Zunla-1 chromosome 4, whole genome shotgun sequence
UGAUGAUGGUGUGGACAAUCGCAGAGCAUAGAAUUAAAUCUUUCCCAAGCUUGGUAUAGAUUCUCUCCAUCUUUCUACCUAAAACUUGGGAUUUUUCUUCUCAACCA